ACUUUCGGACACUGGCAGGAAAUAAUGUCUUCAUAUGACACAUUUUACAGAACUUCCUCUGCUGCCUGAAGACUUCUCUUGGUUUGCGAUGAGUCCGAGGAUGUGGCGGCAGAAUCAGCGGAUCUUUCUUAUUCUGUCAGUGAUCUUCACAGGGUCGUGCUCGGAUGGUUGGAAGAUGGCUGUCUCUCCGGUGGUCACCGCCUCCAGAGGAGAAGACGCCGUCCUCAGCUGCUCCCUCACCAAUUCCAAACAACAGCAGUAUUCAGGGAAGAUCCACGUCAAGUGGUUCGCCAGAGAGUCUGAUUCUUCACCUUUCUUCAGCUGUUCAGUUCAAAACGACUCAGCGACUCAGGGACUCGGCGACUGUUCGUUUUCUGAGCUCAAACAUUCGCUGACUGGAGAUCCACGGCGGGGGGAGCUGUCCCUCCUCAUCAGGAAGGUACAACUGACGGAUGACGGUCAAUACUUCUGCCAAGUGGAGCUGGACGGCAAGCAGAGAUUGACCCAAAAGACACAGCUUCUUGUUCCAGCUGAACCUCAGAUCCUGAGUCUCGUUGUGGUGGAGACCCCCCCAGCCUCAGGCAGCGCCCCCUGGAGGCUGCAGUGUGAGGUGGAGGGCAACCCGCUGCCUAAACUGGUUUGGUUGUCGGCCUCCAAGCUCAAGUUAGACGACCAGGGGAAGACGACUGAGUCGGGUCGGUUCCGACGGAUCGGCGAGGUGCCGUACCUGGAGGGGGAGGAGCUGACCUGCAGGGCGGAGAACAGCCUGGGCGGAGCUCAGAGGUCGUAUCCACCCAGUCAGACCCUGAUGAUAACAGCGGUGGUGUGUGGCCUCAUGGGGGCGCUGCUGCUGCUGCUGCUCUUCAUAGCGGGACUUGUUCACUGUCGCAGAAACAGAGGUGAGCGUCAGAAACAUCGUCUACAACAAGCUCCAGUCGACACUGUUUACGAGAACGUAGUGAAGGGACAUCGAGUGCGAGCGUCCGACCCUCCAGCCGACGGACACUCUGAGAUUCAGCUGGUUUAUUCAGUCGUGGACAGUGAGUCCUGUUAACAUCUCUGACCUGGUGACCCCUGAACCCUCUGAGGUCCACCUGCUCAUCAGCUGGUGAGCUCCAGCUGUCCACCUGAGCCAGUCGUCCUCUAUUCUCCUGUCAACGUUCAGCAGAUCAACAGAGAAUGUCAUGUUUGACUCAUGAAACAGAAAUCCUGUGAUACUUGUUUUCUAAACUUCUGAACAUGACUUGGUUUAAUGUCAGCCUCCGACUCAAGAGACUCCACGACUCCGUCCUCUCGUCGUGUGGAGUCUCUUUGUCCUGUUGUUGCUCAGUGAUUCAUCCAUGAGUCACGAGACCUGACUUAAAAGAAUCUUUGUUAUAUAGAUCUGGAAAAUUUGAAUAAGGCAAAGAUUGUUUCUAAAAAUAUUCGGAGACUCUGGGUUGAGAAAGUUAAGCGUUUCUGUGCCUGAAACCUGUGUUCUCCCUAAUAAAUGUCAAAUGUAAAUGUCAAUAAAUGCAUUUACUUAAAUGA